rnacentral:rRNA from 1 species
CGUUCGCCCUUCUUGGUCAUUUAGAGGAAGUAAAAGUCGUAACAAGUUUCCGUAGGUGAACCUGCGGAAGGAUCAUUAUUGAAAUCCUUAGGAUGUGCUGGCCUUUCGGGGCAUGUGCACUCCGCCUUUUCAAUUCACCUGUGACUCAUUGUAGGCCGGGACUGUAAAAAGUCUUGUGUCUAUGUUUUUUUAUUACCCCUUUUAAAAAGUUUAACAGAAUGUCUAAAAUAGACCUUCAUGGGCGAAAUAUAUUAAUACAACUUUCAACAAUGGAUCUCUUGGUUCUCGCAUGAUGAAGAACGCAGCGAAUUGCGAUAUGUAAUGUGAAUUGCAGAAUUCAUGAAUCAUCGAAUCUUUGAACGCACCUUGCGCCCUUUGGUAUUCCGAAGGCAUGCCUGUUUGAGUGUCAUUAAAUUCUCAACUUCAAAUACUUUGUAUUUGAAGCUUGGACUGUGGAGGUUUGCCGGCGUCAUUGUCAGCUCCUCUUAAUGCAUUAGCGGAACUUUAUUGAAAGGACCAGCUUUGGUUUGAUAAUCUAUCUAUGCCGUCGCUGUGGACUUGUUGUUCAGCUUCAAAUGGUCUUCGACUGUCUCCUUGUGAGGCAUACACUUUUAAACUUGACCUCAAAUCAGGUGGACUACCCGCUGAACUUAAGCAUAUCAAUAAGCGGAGGA